CACGUAGGCACCAAGCGUUGUCCGGAUUUAUUGGGCGUAAAGAGCUCGUAGGCGGUUCAGUAAGUCGGGUGUGAAAACUUUGGGCUUAACCCAAAGCGUGCAUCUGAUACUGCUGUGACUUGAGUUCGGUAGGGGAGUGGGGAAUUCCUAGUGUAGCGGUGAAAUGCGCAGAUAUUAGGAGGAACACCGGUGGCGAAGGCGCCACUCUGGGCCGAAACUGACGCUGAGGAGCGAAAGCGUGGGGAGCGAACGGG
rnacentral:rRNA from 1 species